CGAGGGCACCUGAUGGAGCAGGUGUCGCGCAGGUCGUGCGCGAGGUGCAGGCUUGGCCAGCCUGAGGGGAGGUGCGGUGCUGGGAGCAUGCUCUCUGCGGUCCCGGUGACUUCGUCCAGGACAAGCAGACCCUGUUGGCGGCCGCGUAGCGCAGGGACAGAGGGGCUCGGCGGGGCUGCGGGAACCGAGCCUGCGGACGCAUCCUGCCCGAGCGGCCUUGCGGCCCUCCGGGUGUCCAGGCCCUGAGCUGGUGGUCCGUGGGGAGAGGACCUGGAAUCUGCCGGGUGUCCGGGGUUGUAAAACUGUUCCCUAUCGGCUGGCUAGUGUUGUUUUCUAAGUUAUCCUAACGGGUUCAGCGCAAGGGCUAACUUUAAAUAUUCUCAUUGAUUUCCUUCAUCAGGUUGUGCACUUGUAAGUAUUAAAUGUGCAAAACUAGGAGCGACAUAAACAAAAAAACGAAACCCACUGCGUCGAAUUCAUUCUGACGUAUAGCGACCCUGUAGGAAAGAGUGGAACAGCCCCAUGGGGUUUCCAAGGCUGAAAUCUUUACCAAGCAGACGGCCACAUCUUUCUCUUCCAGCAGCUGGUAGGUUCCACCUUUGAUUAGCAGCCCAGCGCUUCACCCCUGCGCCAUUAAAGGGAUAUGAAGGACAAUAAAUUCAAACUUAGACAAGUGGCUGCUUCCGCAUUUUAACUGACACCGGGAAUUCAUUCUGUUUGCAAAGUUUUUCUUCUUAAAACAGUGCCUUAAUGCUUUGAACCCAAGUAGACAGAAUUUGUCUUCAACUGCAGUUUGUGACAGGGUUUUGUAAUUCACUGUUUUGACAGUUAUAGUCUAUAUUUGAAGUAUUUAACUGAAGUUAAGAGCGAGGAUCCCUGAAGCACUGGAAUUUUCAGUUUUGAAUCGAACCAAUCGCUUUUUCCUUUCUGUGUAGUUCUAAAUAUACUUAUAACCUACUUAGCAAAGCCCUGGAGAGGGGUGUGUGUCCAUGGUCAAUUCAUUUUUACCUAAACAGAGCCCAGCUCUGGCUACCAAUAUUGCCUGCAGUUAAGAUCUGUUUGACAUUAAUUUCGUCAUUAACAUCUGGCUGACACGAUGUUGUCAUUAAUAUCCGGUUGACAUCUGCACACGGAAAGAGAGCAAAUAACGCAUUUUUAAGCAUUAUCGUUGGUAGUAUUUGACUUUGUGACUCAGGCGUAAGGCACCAUCGCUCAGGUUUCCAAAUGCUGUCCAAUUGCCCAGGAGGCAGAAAACUCUACGAGGGAAGAAGAAAAGCACCUCGACUAGGUGCCAGACUUUGCAGCUGUGCUUUUACUAGCAGGUACCUUCCUGUUGUUUUUGCAUCUCUGUGUUUUGCCUGAAUCCUGGGCCUUUAAACAGUGCCACGGCACAGGAACCUGUUAAGAAUAGGCCAUCUGUUAGUUCAUUUCUAGCUUAUAAACUUUCACUAGUAGUUGUUCUUUAAAUGUAGUAAAUCUUGCUUUUGGUUUUCUUUGCUUUUGGUUGGUGUUGUGGAUUGAAUGGAAACCCUGGUGGCGUAGUGGUUAAGUGUACGGCUGCUAACCAAAGGGUCGGCAGUUCGAAUCCACCAGGUGCUCCUUGGAAACUCUAUGGGGCAGUUCUACUCUGUCCUAUAGAGUUGCUAUGAGUCGGAAUCGACUCGACGGCACUGGGUUUGGUUUUGGUUUAUGGAUUGAAUUGUGUUCCUCCAAAAUAUGCCGGAAAUCCUAACCUCUAUGCCUGUGUUGUUCUUUUUUUAUGCCUGUGGUCAUAAUCCCAUUUGGGACUGGGUUGUCUUUGUUAUGUGAAUGAGGCAGGAUUAGUGUAGGGUGUAUGUUGAGUCAAUCUCUUUUGAAAUGUAAAAAGAUAUUAAACACAGGAGCAAAGGAGAGAUGGGGUAAGAUAGAUGCCAAGACACAUGGAGAUCUCUAAGGAGCCAGGAAAGAGAAGCUGGAGACAAGGGCCUUCAUCCAGGGCUGACAGAGACAGAAAGCCUUCCCCUAGAGCCGGAACCCUGAAUUCGGACUUCUAGCUCCCUAAACUGUGAGAAAAUAAAUUUCUCCUUGUGAAAGCUACCCACCCACUUCUGUUACAGCAGCACAGCACUAGAUGGCUAAGACAGUUGGGUAAGACUGUUCUACAAAAGUUAAUAACUGCAGCUCACUUAUACCAAAUUCCUAGAGGGUACAGCAUUUGGAAACAAGGGAGGGGCAGAGGGGGUACAGAUCACAUUCCAGCUUUGACGGGGAGUCAUUCGUGGAGGAAAAAUAUCAGCUCUUCUCUGCUGGACGCUGGGCUGGGUGGGGGAAGUUUAGGGACAGCAAACGACAAAUGAACAGCAUCCUGCUCCCAGUUCUGAGAUCCUGGUGAGCAGACGUCCACCUCUGCAUCCUGCUAGAUGGGACACUGGGUAGGCACCUGUUGGCCCCACCCUGCUCUCCUCAUCUGUCUUUUCUAGUGCUUUGGGGAACAUCCUGGGUCCUGGUUCUGCUGGAUCACAGAAUUCAAUCCAGGAAAAAGCACCUGCAAAUGGUUAAUGUGCUGAGCUGAUAAAUGAAAGUUUGGAGGUUCAAAUCCACCCAGGGCAGAGAUGCCUUGGAAGAAAGCCCUGGUGUUCUACUUCCAAAAAAUCAGCCAUUGAAAACCCUAAGAAGCAACAGUUCCAUUCAUGGGGUCACCAUAGGUCAGGAUCGACUUGAGGGCAACUAUAUGGUCGCAAUGAGUCGGAAUCAACUUGACAGCAAUGGGUUUGGGUAUUCUCCAAACGAGCUAUUUCUUCCCUUAAACUCCUGGAACCACCAAAGGCCCUUCAACUCAGAUCCAGCUUUUCAGCUGAGAGCCAAGGUUGCCUGUGGUUCUCUCUGGAGUCAUCAAUAGCUCAAAGUACAGUAAAUGUACAAACUUGACAGGCUGUGAUGAGAUUCUGGUGCUUGGGAGGACUGGAGAGGCCCCACCCAAGUUAACAAAAAAGGCAACUGUCAUUUAAUUCCCUGGAUGGUUUUUUUUUUAAGUGUCUGAAGUCUCAAGGAAGGCAUUAGAGAUCCCUCUGCAAAGCUCUGCCUCUCCUGCUCCCCAGCACAACUCACUGGACCAGGUGUUUUUAACACUGCGUACUCAGAUCCAAGAUACAACCCUGAGGGGCCCAGGGAUUGAACUCAAGAAGUCUCUGAACUCGGGUGGUGGGGGACAACAUCAUUAUUUUCACAGGACAAGUGCUGUUUGGGGCGGCCUGCCUCAGCCACAUGGAGAAAGCCUGUCUUGAAAAGAAUGGCAGACUCAGUCAGCCAAUUAUCAACUCAGAGCGUGCUGCAAAAGUCAGGGACCUCCAUGGAGGCAGUUAAAGAGUCUCUCAACUUCUGCAGCCAUAAGCAGACCACGCUGAAAAUCAGACCCAAGAUCUAAUGGUCAGGAUUGCCAGUUUACAAAGACACUAAAUUGGCAGUCAUGGUGAAGCUCUUACGCUUCACUCAGGGCCCUAAAAGGAAAGGGAGAACCUUGAGACAUGGUGGAUUGAGUGGGUGCAGUUGACAAUCUUGAACCUGUCAAUGAGUAAGAGUACAUACUCUGUUAAAAAUAAAAGCAAAGCCGUUUAUUGAAGGUUCAAGACAGUUGGAAUUGGAGACACAUCUGUUCUCACACAAUGAAACCAAAGACUCCAAAACGGAGGAGUCACAGAAGCAUAUCUAUGAGAGUGCAAACAGCCACCAACUUGAGGAACAGGUGACAGGACAAAGUGAACUUGUGGGCAUUCCUGGAUCUGAGUAUGCAAGGAGUUGGCUUCCUGCCUUAAGCACCUGUGUCUCUCUGCCAAGUGUUGUCUCUGAUCAGACGGGCAUCUUAUGGCGAGUUUGACAGAGGUCAGGACUGAUCGAGGGAAAGGAUAUGACCACAAAAUAGCAGUGUUGCACAACAAGCUAUUUAUUGGAGCCUUUUUUUUUUUUUUAAUGUGUUGACCAGCCAGAGCACUGGUGGCACAGUGGGUAAGAGCUCGGCUGCUAACCAAAAGGUCCGUAGUUUGAAGUCACCAACAGCUCCUGGGGAACCCUAUGGGGCAGUUCUACUGUGUCCUAGAGGGUCACUAUGGGUCGGAAUCGACUCAACGGCAAUGGGCUUGCUUUUGGUGUUCAUGUGUUGACUGGAGUCCCUGGAGGUGCAACCAGUUAAGCACUCGACUAGUAACUGGAAGGUUGGCAGUUCAAACCCACCCAGGGGUACCUUGGAAGGCAGGCCUGAUGACCUGCUUUCAAAAUGUCACAGUCUUGAAAACACUAUGAAGAAAUUCUACUCUGUACACAUGGAGUCGCCAUGAGCUGGAAUCAACAUGAUGGCAACUAACAACAACAUGUGUUGACCACUACCAGCCUGUCAGUUUGUUGUACUCUGAGGGCUUGUGUGUGUCACCAGUAUUUUAAAUAGCCUCAGGAUCACUCAAGGUGGACCUGAGUCAUCCAUGCUGGCCUUGAAUACACCGUGGAUUGGCAGAAGAAUGAAGGAACCCUUCUUAGAAAAAACCUAACCUGAAUUUCUUAGAAGAGAGGAUUCUGAGACUUCUACUUGCUUACUUUGGACACAUUAUCAGGAAAGAGCAAUCACUGAAAAAGGACAUCAUGGAUGGUAAAGUAGAGAGUCCAUGAAAAGGACUCAAUAGCCUAACAAUGGACUCAAACAACAAUGAUCAUGAAGAUGGCAGGACGGGGCAAAGUUUCAAUCUGUUAUAUGUAAGAUCGCCAUGAGUAGGAGCCGACUGGAAGGCAACUGACAACCACAAUUGUAACAAAUGAGCUACCCUAAUGUAAGAUGUUAGUAGGGGAAACUGGUUAUGAGGAGAUAUACGGCAAUUAUGUUAUCUUUGUGAUUUUUCUGAAACUAUAAAAGUUUCUAAAAAUAAGUUUCAUUACCAAAAAUAUGAAUUCAGUUGGUUAUUUUUCUGCCUCAUUCUGCAGCAGGAGUCCUCUGGAGGCAAGUGGCUCAGGGAGCCAGCCAAAAGGAAAGAGGGCAGGAAUUCCCAGAGGAUAGA